AUUGAACGCUGGCGGCAGGCUUAACACAUGCAAGUCGAGCGGAGUGAUGGUGCUUGCACUAUCACUUAGCGGCGGACGGGUGAGUAAUGCUUAGGAAUCUGCCUAUUAGUGGGGGACAACAUCUCGAAAGGGAUGCUAAUACCGCAUACGUCCUACGGGAGAAAGCAGGGGAUCUUUAUGACCUUGCGCUAAUAGAUGAGCCUAAGUCGGAUUAGCUAGUUGGUGGGGUAAAGGCCUACCAAGGCGACGAUCUGUAGCGGGUCUGAGAGGAUGAUCCGCCACACUGGGACUGAGACACGGCCCAGACUCCUACGGGAGGCAGCAGUGGGGAAUAUUGGACAAUGGGGGGAACCCUGAUCCAGCCAUGCCGCGUGUGUGAAGAAGGCCUUAUGGUUGUAAAGCACUUUAAGCGAGGAGGAGGCUCUUUUGGUUAAUACCCAAGAUGAGUGGACGUUACUCGCAGAAUAAGCACCGGCUAACUCUGUGCCAGCAGCCGCCGUAAUAC
rnacentral:rRNA from 1 species